UACGGAGGGUGCAAGCGUUAUCCGGAUUCACUGGGCUUAAAGGGUGCGUAGGUGGCGCGUUAAGUCCGUUGUGAAAGCCCUGGGCUCAACCCAGGAACUGCUUCGGAUACUGGCGCGCUUGAGGCUAGUAGGGGUCACUGGAACUGACGGUGGAGCGGUGAAAUGCGUAGAUAUCGUCAGGAACGCCAAUGGUGAAGACAGGUGACUGGGCUAGUUCUGACACUGAGGCACGAAAGCGUGGGGAGCGAACGGG
rnacentral:rRNA from 1 species